rnacentral:rRNA from 1 species
GAUGAACGCUGGCGGCGUGCCUAAUACAUGCAAGUCGAGCGAACAGAUAAGGAGCUUGCUCCUUUGACGUUAGCGGCGGACGGGUGAGUAACACGUGGGUAACCUACCUAUAAGACUGGGAUAACUUCGGGAAACCGGAGCUAAAACCGGAUAACAUUUGGAACCGCAUGGUUCUAAAGUGAAAGAUGGUUUUGCUAUCACUUAUAGAUGGACCCGCGCCGUAUUAGCUAGUUGGUAAGGUAACGGCUUACCAAGGCGACGAGACAUAGCGGACCUGAGAGGGGGAGCGGCCACACGGGGACUGAGACAAGGCGCAGACGCCUGCGGGAGGCAGCAGUAGGGAAGCGUCGGGAAUGGACGAAAGCCUGAACGAGCAACGCCGAGGGAGUGAAGAAGGUUUUAGGAUCGUAAAGAUCUGGUGUAAGAGAAUAACGAGUGUGCGAGUGGAAAGUUCACACUGGGACGGUAUAUUACCAGAAAGGGACGGCUAACUACGUG